AGCGAUGCACUUCUAAUUCAUGUGUCCACCGUUUCCACAAAGUUUGUGUGAUUCAGAGAAAAUCUUGUGUGAGAAGAAAAUACUGCCACAUUUGUAAAUACUGCAAAAAAUGCUACUACAGUACAUACAAGAAAUAUAUUUAAGGUGUCAUGAGGCAGUAUGUGCAGCACAUGAGAAGUUUCAUCCCCUGCAACCCUAUCUUUGAAGAAGAUUUCAUCUUUCCAUCAAUUUUCUUGCUGAACUGAAUGGAACUCACCAUUGCCAUUACCAUAACAGAGUAUUUUUCAGAAGCACAAGUAACACCUGUAUACACAAAUAAUAGUGGAAAUAUUUACUUCCAUGGGCCUUAUUUUUUGAGUCAGCGAAAACAUGCCCUUACUUAAAAAUGCAAAUAUGUUUAAAUUAAUCAGAGCUCAGUCUUCAUUUCUUAUGGUAUAAUUAUUUUUUAAGGCAAUUGUUAAAAUGAGUUUUUUUUUCAAGCAAAAUGCACUGUUUAAAGUUAAUAGCAAAGUUGUCUUUUAAUGUAUGUAACUAUCCCUCUAUGCUGUUGUGAAGUUGCCACUACUGAAUGAAAAAGCUUUUGUUUAAAAGUGAAAAAAAUAAAAAUAAAAAGCCACACUAGCAUCAUA